rnacentral:rRNA from 1 species
UACGGGGGGGGCAAGCGUUGUUCGGAAUUACUGGGCGUAAAGGGCUGGUAGGCGGCCAACUAAGUCGGAUGUGAAAUCCCCAGGCUUAACCUGGGAACUGCAUCCGAUACUGGUCGGCUUGAAUCCGGGAGAGGGAUGCAGAAUUCCAGGUGUAGCGGUGAAAUGCGUAGAUAUCUGGAGGAAUACCGGUGGCGAAGGCGGCAUCCUGGACCGGUAUUGACGCUGAACAGCGAAAGCUAGGGGAGCAAACGGG